AUCUGCUCUAAUUUCUGUCUCAUACUGUUUAGUUUAGUACCCAAAAUUUUCGAUUUUCUCAUGCUUGUGGGGUGCUGCUAGAAGCCCCCCAUUAUGGUGAGAAUCAUAUUGACUAGUGACCAUUUGCUCUUGAACCACAUAUGUUAAUGUUGUUGAAAAGUACCAUGUGCAAAGCACUUAGUGCAUAUUUAUGUAACCAAACAAAAGGCAACUAUGACUGCCCAUUUCCUUGCUUAAAACCUCUCAAUGUUUUUCCAGAAAGCUUACCAAAUCAAUCUUUUGGCUAACAGUGGUCGAUUUUCCAGGCCUAUUCCUGGAUCAAUCUUUUGGCUCCAUAAGCUGUUGAAUUCACUUCCCUGUAGGCAAAUGGACUUGAUACAUGCCGCAGAAAAUCCAUAAGAUCAAACAUACUCUUCGCCAGCAUCUAGAGCAAAAUUGGCAGAAUCUGUCGUUGAGCCUUCUACUUCCAGGUGGUCAAUCUCAUUUACUUCACUGGUUAAGCCAUCUUCAGAAUCUGCUUGAUCAGGUUUCCAAUUCUUCAGGAGCUCCAUUACUUUCUUGCACUGUUGCUCGGGUUGUGGGACUCCAUAUAUGUUCAUAAGAACUAGAAGUGAUUUUGCAAGAAGUUUCUCCUCCCGCAAAGCGUUCAGGACUACCAGCAGUUGAUGAUAAUGCUCAGCAAAAGGUUUGGGUAGGCCAAACACUCAAAUAUGGUGGAUCCAAAAUAGACACAACUUGUCACGGUGAUGCAGAUUGUGGACCAAUCUGUAAAUCUUUUGGUUCUCUUGUAGGGUGCAAAUGCAUCCCUGGCAACGUGUGCUGCUGCCGUUUGCGGUCACGACCGUGCCAAUGUAGUUGAACACUUUGUCAUGUAUCACAAUUCUCAUGUAUUGCUUAAAUUGUUGCCUCAAUUAUUUGUUGCUUGAAGACCAAAUGGAUGCUCAAUGAAGUCUUAUUAUCAUGCAUUUUUGUUCUACAAA